rnacentral:tRNA from 1 species
GCCUGGGUGGCUCAGUCAGUUAAGUGUCUGACUUCCAUUCAGGUCAUGCUCUCACGGUUUGGUUUGUAGGUUCGAGCCCUGUAUCAGGCU